CGGCGUGCUUAACACAUGCAAGUCGAACGGACUCUUCGGUAGUUAGUGGCGGACGGGUGAGUAAUACAUAGAUAAUCUGCCUUUAAGUGGGGGACAACUAAGCGAAAGUUUAGCUAAUACCGCAUAAUAUGGUUAGUUGAAAUACUAAUUAGGAAAGGAUUUAUUCGCUUUUAGAGGAGUCUAUGGUUGAUUAGCUAGUUGGUGAGGUAAUGGCUCACCAAGGCGACGAUCAAUAGCUGGUCUGAGAGGACGAUCAGCCACACUGGGACUGAGACACGGCCCAGACUUCUACGGAAGGCAGCAGUGGGGAAUUUUCCGCAAUGGGCGAAAGCCUGACGGAGCGACGCCGCGUGGAGGAUGAAGUAUUUAGGUAUGUAAACUCCUUUCAGCAGGGACGAAAAAAAUGACGGUACCUGCAGAAGAAGCAUCGGCUAACUACGUGCCAGCAGCCGCGGUAAUACGUAGGAUGCAAGCGUUGUUCGGAAUUACUGGGCGUAAAGAGUACGUAGGCGGUGACAUAAGUCUGAUAUUAAAGACAGGGGCUCAACCUCUGGAGUGUAUCGGAAACUGUGUUACUAGAGGACAGUAGGGGAAGUCGGAAUUCUCAGUGUGGCGGUGAAAUGCGUAGAUAUUGGGGAAGAACACCGGUCGCGAAAGCGGACUUCUGGGCUGUUACUGACG
rnacentral:rRNA from 1 species